AUACGUAGGGGGCGAGCGUUGUCCGGAAUGAUUGGGCGUAAAGGGCGCGUAGGCGGCCCGGUAAGUCUGGAGUGAAAGUCCUGCUUUUAAGGUGGGAAUUGCUUUGGAUACUGUCGGGCUUGAGUGCAGGAGAGGUAAGUGGAAUUCCCAGUGUAGCGGUGAAAUGCGUAGAGAUUGGGAGGAACACCAGUGGCGAAGGCGACUUACUGGACUGUAACUGACGCCGAGGCGCGAAAGUGUGGGGAGCAAACAGGAUUAGAUACCCUGGUAGUCCACACUGUAAACGAUGAAUGCUAGGUGUAGGGGGUAUCGACCCCUUCUGUGCCGCAGUUAACACAAUAAGCAUUCCGCCUGGGGAGUACGGCCGCAAGGUUGAAACUCAAAUGAAUUGACGGGG
rnacentral:rRNA from 1 species